GUGCGGACGCACGGCGAGCGCGCAGUCGUCCUCGAGCCCCGCCCCCACGGAGCCGCCGCAGGUUUGAACCGCAUCCCCGCGCGCGGAGGGCUAUGAGGGAGGCGCCAAGGGCCUGCGAUUCGCCGCGGGUGGCGGAGCGGGAGCGCGGCAUGGAGGGGCUGGCCUAGCUGGGGCUCGUGGCCCUACGUCGUCUGGCUGCGACGCGGGUCCUGCGCACGCUGCGGGGCCGCAGCCGCCGGGCGGUGAGCGCCCGAGGGGCCGGGAGGCGAGCCGGGGACCCCAGGCGGGUGUGGGCAUCGUGUCCACAGCCAGCGUCCCCGAAGCCGCGCUCGGGCCGUGAUCACUCGGUGAAGCUGCGCUGCGACACUGCAGCCGACUUCUUCCUGCGCUGUGAGGACCUGUGCGCGCUGCAGGACUCAGUGCCUCUGCCUGCGGGAGGGCCUGCUGGACUUAAAGCUGUCCGCUUCCACGGGGUGGACUGGGUACCGCCCCUGAGCACCCUCUGCCCCUGAUCUGUAUCCAGAGCUUCUUCCAGCCACAGCUGGGCGAGACAGUAUCAGACUACCAGAAGGCACGAAGAAACCUGGGCUGAGAGUCUUCAUUCCAGGAGACCUGAUCUUGACUGUAUGGCUGGUUUGAGACGCAUCACUCUGAACUGCGACAUGCUCAUUGGUGACCUGGGUACAAGUGCUUUUGCAGAAUCUCUUAGUGAGGAUUUGUGGCUUUACCAGUGGAUAACUUCUCCAUCGGUGAAGGAACCAUGCAAAGCUGCUAGACAGAAAAAGAGAACUAUAAUUUUGGGAAGUGGUUGAAAAGGAAAAGCUACAAUUAGAAUUGUGUCAUGGCCUCUCCCAUUGCGGAGCACAGGCCACGGACGCGCAGGC